CUUGGUGGGUAAUCUGUAAAAACCAAAGAAUGAGAUUAAAGACCCUCUCUGUAAGUCCUCACAGAGGCUUUGAUAUGCCUUGGCCCUGGGACAGGAUAGCCUUCCCUCCCCCUAGACUUUUACAAACCAAAUAUAAAAAACACAAUCUUAUCUUUACACCCACUAUUAUCUCUUAAAUACCCUUUAAUUAUUAAUUCACACAAAUUCUCUUUGCCAAUCCAUUAAUUCAGCAGUUUAUAAAAAAUACACUAUUGAGCGCGCGGGGAAACUGAAAACCAGAGUGGGGCUGUUUAAAAUUUCCCGUACCCAAACCCCAAAAUAAAUGAAACCACACUUACUCUCUGUCUCACUCUAUCUCUCGCUCAAUCUUCUCUACGUCGGCGCAGUCUCGAAUCUCUCCAUCGCCUCAUUGAUGGUUGACAGUAGGAAAGGUAAACGAGUCUGCUCUUAAACUGGAGCUGUAAAAAAAAUGAGCCUGAUCACAGUUCUUUCAAGGUUACAUGUCUGCAAACCCAACAUGGAGGUUGGUACGUAGUUCUUCUAAAUCAAGUACAUGUAUGCAUAUAGAUGAUUGAAAAAAGUGUACCUAUGAAAACUACAAAGCAGCUCCCUAAUUGUCCAUCCACUAUUCUUUUUCUUUUUCCCUCUUUGUAUGUAGGUUUUUUCUUUUCCUAAAAAGUAUCACGAAGUAGAUGAAAUUUCAUUGUAUGUUAUAGGUGAACUAGUUUUGGAUUUUCUUAAUUUAAUGUAACGAAAAUUAAUUGAGUUUGAGUGCUCAGCUUGAGAUUAAUCAAUAAAUUGAGGAUCUAUUGUGUUUUU